rnacentral:rRNA from 1 species
ACGGGAGGCAGCAGUGGGGAAUAUUGCACAAUGGGGGAAACCCUGAUGCAGCGACGCCGCGUGAACGAUGAAGUAUUUCGGUAUGUAAAGUUCUAUCAGCAGGGAAGAUAAUGACGGUACCUGACUAAGAAGCACCGGCUAAAUACGUGCCAGCAGCCGCGGUAAUACGUAUGGUGCAAGCGUUAUCCGGAUUUACUGGGUGUAAAGGGUGCGUAGGUGGCAUGGCAAGUCUGAAGUGAAAUGCGGGGGCUCAACCCCUGAACUGCUUAGGAAACUGUCAAGCUUGAGUACAGGAGAGGAAAGCGGAACUCCUAGUGUAGCGGUGAAAUGCGUAGAUAUUAGGAGGAACACCAGUGGCGAAGGCGGCUUUCUGGACUGUAACUGACACUGAGGCACGAAAGCGUGGGGAGCGAACAGGAUUAGAUACCCUGGUA